rnacentral:lncRNA from 1 species
GCUGCAUGGACCUUGGUGUCUUCAGGGCUGGUUCUCACUCUCCCAGCUGCUGUUGCACAGCAGUUUUUUCCCCCCAUUCUUAACUCUGCUCUCCCAGAGGCCCAACCAGCAUCACUUACUGGCUCGGCUCUGGCCUGCAGGGGGUCACUUUUGGAGCCAGCUGGAGCUGGCUCUGCUCUGACUUGGGGCAGCUGCUGGUCUCGGCUCACAGAGGCCACCCCUGCAGCCUCCCUGCUAUCAGGCUCUUACCAUGUAAACCCAAUACAAUCCCUUUAUAGGAACUUGUUUACUUAAAAAACACGUUUUUGAGGGAUUUUAUUGUUUUUGAGAUGCAAAAAUUCUUUUGUUGUACAGAGUUGACAGGCCAGGUAAAUAUAGAUCCUCUGCAUGUAUUCGCAUUUUUUAGGAAAUUGUGUCUGACUUUAAGAAGUCCUGUUCAAGACUAAAAGGAAAAUGAGGUCUAGAGGAUCACCUCCAAUUUGCAAAAGAGACUGGAUGGAAGGUUACCGAUUCAACAUGUAUGAGAAAGAGUUAAUGUUGUCAGAAAUAAAUGCUUUCAGGACUACCGCAUCAGAAUAUGGAUCCAGCUACAAGGUAGAAUGUGACUUGGAAAAAAAAUCAUUGCAUCCUCAUGUAGCAAUUUUUCUUUAGCACAAAGCCAAGGGAGCUUUCAGUCUGCAAGACACUAUUUGCCUCAUAUAUAAUUUUUAGUAUUGAAAUUAUAUGUUGACACUCUCUCCCUGAGAAUUCUUAACCUCACAGAAUAUAUCUGUAAAAUGGUCUAAUUCUAAUGACUCUCUGGUCUUAUUUUAAAGUGCAAAAAUUGAAAAAGAUUAAUGAUUCUUAAGAUUUUCUUUUAAGAUCUGUUAUUUCAAGGGAUAGGGGACUUCUGAGAUCGUUUGUCGUAUCUGGUGUUAUUGAAAUUCUAUCCAACCAUAAUAGUGUUUUUAAAGUCUGAAAGUUGCUGUUUCUUUUUCAGUCUGAAAUGCUGCAUGUGUUCAAACUACCAUAUUUUUCUAGUUCUAUUUAUUGGCUGAGAAGAAGAUAUUAACUCACCCAAUGAAUGUUGGUUAGCACAUUCUUUACUACAGUAAAGGUUGCUCUGAAGCUUUUCUUGCCUGAUCAAAACCAGAAUAUUUGCAUUAUCAAGAUAUUUGAAGAUCUCACAAAAGUUUCCAGUCUAGUAAACAUGACAUGUCAUGUGGUCACAGUUAAAGUUCAAUUCAUUUCUUUCCCCCAAAGAGGCUAAAACAUACAGAAGCCCAUGAUUUUCACUGAUUUUGAAGAAAGGACAUCACCUGGGAAAAACAAUAGUGCUAUGUUUAAAAGAAAAAAAAAAAAGUGCUUUAUCUCCAGAACUUUCUUCAUAGUAAAUGUUUUGUUACAAAACUUGCAAUUCUGGGAAGAAUAAAUGCUUUGUAUUUUGUUGUUUCA